AUUGAACGCUGGCGGCAGGCUUCACACAUGCAAGUCGAGCGAGCGGCGGACGGGUGAGUAAUGUCUGGGAAACUGCCUGAUGGAGGGGGAUAACUACUGGAAACGGUAGCUAAUACCGCAUACCAUCGGAUGUGCCCAGAGGGGAUUAGGUAGUAGGUGGGGUAAUGGCUCACCUAGGCGACGAUCCCUAGCUGGUCUGAGAGGAUGACCAGCCACACUGGAACGUAGACACGGCCCAGACUCCGACGGGAGGCAGCAGUGGGGAAUAUGGCACAAUGGGAGCAAGCCUGAUGCAGCCAUGCCGCGUGUAUGAAGAAGGCCUUCGGGUUGUAAAGCACUUUCAGUGACGAGGCGUUACCCGCAGAAGAAGCACCGGCUAACUCCGUGCCAGCAGCCGCGGUAAUAC
rnacentral:rRNA from 1 species